rnacentral:rRNA from 1 species
CCUACGGGUGGCAGCAGUGAGGAAUAUUGGUCAAUGGGCGAGAGCCUGAACCAGCCAAGUCGCGUGCAGGAUGAAGGCUCUAUGGUUUGUAAACUUCUUUUAUAUGGGAAUAAAGUGAGGAACGUGUUUCUUUUUGUAUGUACCAUAUGAAUAAGCAUCGGCUAACUCCGUGCCAGCAGCCGCGGUAAUACGGAGGAUGCGAGCGUUAUCCGGAUUUAUUGGGUUUAAAGGGUGCGUAGGUGGUUAGUUAAGUCAGCGGUGAAAGUUUGUGGCUCAACCAUAAAAUUGCCGUUGAUACUGGUUGACUUGAGUAUAUUUGAGGUAGGCGGAAUGCGUGGUGUAGCGGUGAAAUGCAUAGAGAUCAUGCAGAACACCGAUUGCGAAGGCAGCUUACUAAACUAUAACUGACACUGAAGCACGAAAGCGUGGGGAGCAAACAGGAUUAGAUACCCGUGUAGUC